UUAUAAGAGACAGCAGUCGCCGCGGUAAUACGAAGGGUGCAAGCGUUAAUCGGAAUUACUGGGCGUAAAGCGUGCGUAGGCGGUGAGUUAAGUCUGCUGUGAAAUCCCCGGGCUCAACCUGGGAAUGGCAGUGGAUACUGGCUCGCUAGAGUGUGUCAGAGGAUGGUGGAAUUCCCGGUGUAGCGGUGAAAUGCGUAGAGAUCGGGAGGAACAUCAGUGGCGAAGGCGGCCAUCUGGGACAACACUGACGCUGAGGCACGAAAGCGUGGGGAGCAAACAGGAUUAGAUACCCGAGUAGUCCCUGUCUCUUAUAC
rnacentral:rRNA from 1 species